rnacentral:lncRNA from 1 species
UCAAAAUGAUGAAAUUGUUUUCAUCACGUAUAAUGUGCAUGCACAACUACGUAAGUAACUAUACACCAUAUAUAUAAAGUUUUCUUUUUGUUUCCUAUUAUAUUUUCACAUAUGGUUAAGAUUUAUGUACAUAACUUUUGAAAUACUUCAGUUAUAUCUCAAGUUUUAGCCCUGAAUGAAUUAUAUUCGUCAAAAAUCAUUAAUAUAUAUGUUUAGUAUAUUGUCGUAAACGAAUUGGAAGACACACGGUAUUACCCAAGCUAUUUUUGGAUGCUUUGACAUUAAUAAAAGAAAUUACGUUCAAAUAAACCUAUAACAUUCAACAAAUACGCCACAUAGGAAAUGACAAAAAUAGCCUUACAUGCAGUUACAACUAAAGAACAAUGUUCUCUUGUUUAGGUAGCUAGUAACAGAACGACAUAGUUCACAAAGCAACAAAUAAACCAACAAUACCUUCUCGAAACACAAACUAACACAGCUAUGGUUACUACAACCAUUUUCAAGGAAGUGGAACUGCACCAGAAUCAUCUCCGGCACCAGGUCCACCACCACCAAUUCCACCGCCACCUAGAGCCGGCAAGCCAGCAAAACCAUUAGCAAGACCUCCAAAAGUUCCUACACCACCAGCAGCUGCACCAGGUCCACCAAAUUGGUAACCAGCACCUACACCUCCGAUCCCAUUGGAGGUGCCUAUGCCAAGUCCGGCGCCACCACCACCAAUGGGUUGGCCGUUGUUAUCGAAGCCAGAAAAGCCACCCAGUCCACCAAAACUGACAAUGUUCUUUUGUUCAGUUAGACCGACAGCAGCUUUGUUGGUGUCACUAGGAAGGUCUCUGGCAAUAGUACUUUCUACUACUACUGCUGUUAAAACAACCAGUAACAUGAAACGCCAGUUUGCCAUAUUCUUUUUUUAUAUUUGUUUACUUGGCUAUAAGCG